AAAGCGGCCCUAAGUCCCAGCAACUUCAGGGGAUGCUGACGAGAUGGCUGACCACCGUCCUCAGGCCUCUGCAGAACUUCGGCCAAGUGGUGGUGGAGAAGUUCCAGCCCGACCCACUGACUGCCAGGGUGGGUG